rnacentral:rRNA from 1 species
GAUGAACGCUGGCGGCGUGCCUAAUACAUGCAAGUCGAGCGAACGGACGAGAAGCUUGCUUUUCUGAUGUUAGCGGCGGACGGGUGAGUAACACGUGGAUAACCUACCUAUAAGACUGGGAUAACUUCGGGAAACCGGAGCUAAUACCGGAUGAUAUUUUGAACCGCAUGGUUCAAAAGUGAAAGACGGUCUUGCUGUCACUUAUAGAUGGAUCCGCGCUGCAUUAGCUAGUUGGUAAGGUAACGGCUUACCAAGGCAACGAUGCAUAGCCGACCUGAGAGGGUGAUCGGCCACACUGGAACUGAGACACGGUCCAGACUCCUACGGGAGGCAGCAGUAGGGAAUCUUCCGCAAUGGGCGAAAGCCUGACGGAGCAACGCCGCGUGAGUGAUGAAGGUCUUCGGAUCGUAAAACUCUGUUAUUAGGGAAGAACAUAUGUGUAAGUAACUGUGCACAUCUUGACGGUACCUAAUCAGAAAGCCACGGCUAACUACGUGCCAGCAGCCGCGGUAAUACGUAGGUGGCAAGCGUUAUCCGGAAUUAUUGGGCGUAAAGCGCGCGUAGGCGGUUUUUUAAGUCUGAUGUGAAAGCCCACGGCUCAACCGUGGAGGGUCAUUGGAAACUGGAAAACUUGAGUGCAGAAGAGGAAAGUGGAAUUCCAUGUGUAGCGGUGAAAUGCGCAGAGAUAUGGAGGAACACCAGUGGCGAAGGCGACUUUCUGGUCUGUAACUGACGCUGAUGUGCGAAAGCGUGGGGAUCAAACAGGAUUAGAUACCCUGGUAGUCCACGCCGUAAACGAUGAGUGCUAAGUGUUAGGGGGUUUCCGCCCCUUAGUGCUGCAGCUAACGCAUUAAGCACUCCGCCUGGGGAGUACGACCGCAAGGUUGAAACUCAAAGGAAUUGACGGGGACCCGCACAAGCGGUGGAGCAUGUGGUUUAAUUCGAAGCAACGCGAAGAACCUUACCAAAUCUUGACAUCCUCUGACCCCUCUAGAGAUAGAGUUUUCCCCUUCGGGGGACAGAGUGACAGGUGGUGCAUGGUUGUCGUCAGCUCGUGUCGUGAGAUGUUGGGUUAAGUCCCGCAACGAGCGCAACCCUUAAGCUUAGUUGCCAUCAUUAAGUUGGGCACUCUAAGUUGACUGCCGGUGACAAACCGGAGGAAGGUGGGGAUGACGUCAAAUCAUCAUGCCCCUUAUGAUUUGGGCUACACACGUGCUACAAUGGACAAUACAAAGGGUAGCGAAACCGCGAGGUCAAGCAAAUCCCAUAAAGUUGUUCUCAGUUCGGAUUGUAGUCUGCAACUCGACUACAUGAAGCUGGAAUCGCUAGUAAUCGUAGAUCAGCAUGCUACGGUGAAUACGUUCCCGGGUCU